GACGAACGCUGGCGGCGUGCCUAACACAUGCAAGUCGAACGGAGUUAAGACUUCGGUUUAACUUAGUGGCGAACGGGUGAGUAACGCGUGAGAAACCUGCCUUUCAGUGGGGGACAACAGUUGGAAACGACUGCUAAUACCGCAUAAUGUUAUCGAGCGGCAUCGCUUGAUAACCAAAGCUUUAUGUGCUGAAAGAUGGUCUCGCGUCUGAUUAGCUAGUUGGUGAGGUAACGGCUCACCAAGGCGACGAUCAGUAGCCGGUCUGAGAGGAUGAACGGCCACAUUGGGACUGAGAUACGGCCCAGACUCCUACGGGAGGCAGCAGUGGGGAAUAUUGGGCAAUGGGCGAAAGCCUGACCCAGCAACGCCGCGUGAAGGAAGAAGGCCUUCGGGUUGUAAACUUCUUUUACCAGGGACGAAGAACGUGACGGUACCUGGAGAAAAAGCAACGGCUAACUACGUG
rnacentral:rRNA from 1 species